ACUAGCUCCUUAAUCAAUUUGUCGACGCCUGCAUAAAACAGGAGAAGCCACUGAAUCGAUGAAAAUCAAAACAAAGCAUAACAAUGAAGAACGCAACUUUGUAUCAUGAUUAACAGAUCCAACAAGAUCCAGAAGUAAAGUAAUUAUUAGUUCCUUCAUUGACAAACAAAUCGAACCAACAGAUCCACCAAAAUCAAAAAAAAAAAAAGAAAUCGCCCCCGUUUACAAACCCUAAUUUAUCACCACACCACCACUGACACUAUGGUCAUCACCAUUUCAACAAUUAAAAACCAAUCCCGAUCUUUAUCAAACCUCGGUUCGUUUAACUCUUCGUAAUCUUCUUCGAAUUACUUCUUCUCUUGUUAAUGAUGUUAAUCCACUGUCUUGUUGAUUAGGGUUGGGAUUUGGGUUUCGAUUUUCUGUAUCUGAAACUCGCAUUCGGUCGAUUAAGGUUCUUCCCUUUCUUAGAUAAAUUUGUUUAUUUCACUGACACCAUUAUUUUUUUAGGGCUUUUGAGAAGAGGGGUUUAUUUCAGUUGAUGUUUGGGAGACAAAGUGAAGGAGUGUAUAUACAAUUGGAUUUUCAUUUCUUCAUUUUUGGACAAGUGGGUACAUCAAUGGGUUCCGGGAUGAAGUAUAGUAUCAGUUAUGAAGGGAAUGAGUAGAAAGUGAGGGUGAAUCUCUGGCAUAUGGAUCUUAGGAUUAAUUAGGUCAAGUAGAUAUGUUGAAUCAUGACCGUAGGUAUGAUGGUUACAUCAUAGCUGUUGAUCCAGAAUACCUGGUUGCUAAAACCAGAAAGGAAUGUAACCACACAUCUAAACAAGUUCGUGAUGUUAACAAGGCCAUAUGCAGCUGAUGCAUUGAUGUUCUACAGUUAGGCCAGAAAGAGACUCAAUUUCAGGUUUUUACUAGUGGAUGUAGUUGUGUCUUGUGUGGUUCCAUUUGUCUCUUACUUGCUACAGUUAGGUGCAUUGUUUUGCUUGCUAAGUGAUUUGUUUGUCAAUUGGGGAUCACUAUCAUGAUUAUAACUAACUGUAUUAGCAACUCCAUGAAUUCAUCUUGCAGAAGAUAAAAACAGCGGCUGCUGCUAUUGCAGGCUUGAAAAUGCUCAGCAUCCUAAGAGUGGAGGAUUCUCACAUGGCGGUGGUGGAUUAUUCCGUGACGGCAGCGGUAGUUCUUCUUCAUCAUCCUACUACAAAAGUUAGUGCUAGAUGGAUGCGUCUGAUCCUUUACUUGCGUUCAAGGGUUGUGCCUGCCUGGUAAUUCUAUUUAGUUUUUCCAGCAAUUAUUAUUAUUUUGUGUUUUUUGAAGCAUCCUACAAUAUCCAAUCGAUCUGGGCUGGGGACCUGGGGUUAUGAAAUCCCUGAUUGAGUUGUUAAUUGCUAUUUUGGGGGGAUUUGGAAGCUAUUUAUUUGUCAUCCCUCUUUUAGUAGUUUCAGGCCUGAUCCAGAAUACCUGGUUGCUAAAACCAGAAAGGAACGUAAUUACACAUCUAAACAAGUUCGUGAUUUAUCAAGGCCAUUUGCAGCUGAUGCCAUGAGGUUCUAUAACAAAGAAGCAGUAAAAUUCAUAGUGUACAAAAUAUAAGCUGGUGGAGCAUGGUUAUAUUACAUCUGCACUUCUUAAGACAUGCGUUCUUCAUCAUGUCGACUUCACUGCUAAGAAAACUGAUGUUUCUGAUGCUCCAGAGGAAAUAUUUUUAGCUGAACUAACAACUACCAGCGCCAAGAGACUCAAUUUCAGGUUUGUACAUGUCGAUGUGGUUGUGUCUGCAAAAGCAUGGGGCCAAGAGACUCAAUUUCAGGAGAUAAAAACAACGGUUGCUGUUACGGGCUUGAGAAUGUUCAGUAUCCUAAGAGUGAGGAUUCUCGCGUGGGGCACGUGGAUUAUUCCGUGAUGGCAGCGGUAGUUCUUCUUUAUCUAUCUCCAAAAGUUUGCGUUCGACGGAUGCGUCUGAUCCUUCACUUGAUGGCUCUAAAUGUUUGCGUUCAAGGGUUGUGCCUACCAGGCCUGAUUCAGAAUGUAACUACACAUCUAAACCAGUUCAUAUUGGAGCAAGGCCUGCAGCCGAAGCCCUGAGUAUCUAUAACAGUCACCUAGGUACAGAAUAUGAGCUGGUGGAGCCUGGUUGCAUUACACAGGUGCUUCUUGAGACAUGCACUCUUUACCAUUUCAACUUCGUGGCUAAGAAGACUGAUGUAGCUGAUGCUCCAGAGGAGGUGUUUUUUGUCGAACUGACAACUACCUGCGGGGUUCUUUCUGUCAAGCGUUGCAUAUGCAUGGGGCCAAGAGACUCAAUUUCCGGAGAUAGAAACAAUGGCUGCUGUUACUGCAGGCUUGAAAAUGUUCAGCAUCCUAAGGGUGGAUUUUUCUCGCGCGGCGGUGAAGGGUUGUUCCUUGAUUGUUGACAGUGAACUUUCUAGUUGUAUUUGUAAGAUAUCUACAGAAACCAUGGCUGGAAUUGAGAUCUCAUUUACUAAUGCCUAACAUUUUCAUCGUUGCACCAUUAGCCUUGUUUUCCAUGUUGUUGCACCGUUGAAUGCUGGCUACGUAGUGUUUUCUGCUGUAGAUGGGUCAAGUGAUGGUAAGAAAGUUAAAGAAGGUGCAACUAUGGGGUUUCAAUGGGUCUAAGAUAAAUACAAUAAGAGAACACAAAUACACUAGUAGUAUAUUAUGAAAUGGAAGAAAAGAAAAGGUCUCUUUUUUUUUUGAAGUAGCUUCGUAUUGAUUUAUGAUUUUUUCCUUUCAUGUAAUUAUUUACCACACAUAUCAUCUGUUCUUUGAUCCUUGUAAUUUUUUCCUAUCUUGUAGUGAGUUCUUGAUUUUAGCU